GUAGGUGGCAAGCGUUGUCCGGAAUUAUUGGGCGUAAAGCGCGCGCAGGGCGGUCCUUUAAGUCUGAUGUGAAAGCCCACGGCUCAACCGUGGAGGGUCAUUGGAAACUGGGGGACUUGAGUACGGAAGAGGAAAGCGGAAUUCCAAGUGUAGCGGUGAAAUGCGUAGAGAUUUGGAGGAACACCAGUGGCGAAGGCGGCUUUCUGGUCUGUAACUGACGCUGAGGCGCGAAAGCGUGGGGAGCAAACAGGAUUAGAUACCCUGGUAGUCCACGCCGUAAACGAUGAGUGCUAAGUGUUAGGGGGUUUCCGCCCCUUAGUGCUGCAGCUAACGCAUUAAGCACUCCGCCUGGGGAGUACGGCCGCAAAGGCUG
rnacentral:rRNA from 1 species